rnacentral:rRNA from 1 species
GUAUAUUAAAGUUGUUGCAGUUAAAAAGCUCGUAGUUGAACCUUGGGCCUGGUUGGCGGUCCGCCUCACCGCGUGCACUGGUCCGACCGGGUCUUUCCUUCUGAGGAGCCGCAUGCCCUUCACUGGGUGUGUCGGGGAAUCAGGACUUUUACUUUGAAAAAAUUAGAGUGUUCAAAGCAGGCCUAUGCUCGAAUACAUUAGCAUGGAAUAAUAGAAUAGGACGUGUGGUUCUAUUUUGUUGGUUUCUAGGACCGCCGUAAUGAUUAAUAGGGAUAGUCGGGGGCAUCAGUAUUCAAUUGUCAGAGGUGAAAUUCUUGGAUUUAUUGAAGACUAACUACUGCGAAAGCAUUUGCCAAGGAUGUUUUCAUUAAUCAGUGAACGAAAGUUAGGGGAUCGAAGACGAUCAGAUACCGUCGUAGUCUUAACCAUAAACUAUGCCGACUAGGGAUCGGGCGAUGUUAUCUUUUUGACUCGCUCGGCACCUUACGAGAAAUCAAAGUCUUUGG